UUCGGCCUUUUUUAUCAAAAACAUGUCUUUUUGAAUUUAAUAUAAAGUCUAAUCUGCCCACUGAUAUAAUUUAUAUUAAAGGGCUGCAGUAUAUUGACUGUACAAAGGUAGCAUAAUCAUUAGUCAUUUAAUUGAUGACUUGUAUGAAAGAUUGGAUGAAAUAUAAACUGUCUCUUUAUUAUUUAUAGAAUUUAAUUUUUUAAUUAAAAAGUUAAAAUAAUUUAAAAAGACGAGAAGACCCUAUAGAGUUUUAUAUUUAAAUUAAUUAAGAUUAUUUAUAAAAUUUUUAAUUGAAAUUAUUUUUAAUUAUUUUGUUGGGGUGACAAAAAAAUAAAAAUAACUUUUUUUAAAUUUUAACAUAUAUAAUUGAUUUUAUGAUCCAUUUUUAAUGAUUAUAAGAAAAAAUUACCUUAGGGAUAACAGCGUAAUUUUUUUUUUUAGUUCGAAUAAAAAAAAGAGUUUGCGACCUCGAUGUUGGAUUAAGAUAAAAUUUAAAUGUAGAAGUUUAAAAUUUUUGAUCUGUUCGAUCAUUAAAAUCUUACAUGAUCUGAGUUUCAACCGGA
rnacentral:rRNA from 1 species